UACAGAGGUCCCAAGCGUUGUUCGGAUUCACUGGGCGUAAAGGGUGCGCAGGUGGUCGGGUAAGUCUGACGUGAAAUCCCGCAGCUUAACUGCGGAAUGGCAUUGGAUACUAUUCGGCUAGAGGGUUGGAGGGGGGACUGGAAUUCUCGGUGUAGCAGUGAAAUGCGUAGAUAUCGAGAGGAACACCAGUGGCGAAGGCGAGGCCCUGGACAACUCCUGACGCUGAGGCACGAAAGCUAGGGGAGCAAACAGG
rnacentral:rRNA from 1 species